rnacentral:misc_RNA from 1 species
CCGAAUUGUCAACACGAGUUGUUGCUGGCCCUCAACCGGGGGCAUGUGCACGCUCUGUUCACACACAUCCACUCACACCUGUGCACCCUCCGUAGUUCUGUGGCCCGGGGUGCUCUGCCCUCCUGCUGCGGUUCUAUGUCUUUACACACACACACCGUAACAAAGUCUUAUCGAAUGUACGAAGCGUUUGACGCAAUACAAUAUA